rnacentral:lncRNA from 1 species
CGAAACCGCCGUUUCCCAUUUUUAUCUUUUGAAGUGUUUAUUCUAUUGCAGAUGGAGCUCAUUAUUUACUGGAUGUAAGCGCCAUUUAUCUUCUGUUCUCUCUCAGAUUUUGUAAAUAUCAUGUUAAUGGCUUUACUAAAAAUUACAAUCCGCCUUACAAAGCUGUAUAUUUACAGUUUCUCAUAAGUAAUCCUCUCCACCAGCCAAUUUGAACAACAAAUCAUUUGGAAUGCAUC